rnacentral:rRNA from 1 species
GCCCAGUGUUUUAAAUGGCCGCAGUACCUUGACUGUGCUAAGGUAGCAUAAUCAAUUGGCUUCUAAUUAAAGGGAAUGAAAGGAAGUAGUAAUUCUAUCUUAAGGAUUUUUUAAUUUAUUUAAAUGAUGAAAAUAUCAUUUUAUAGAAAAAAGACGAGAAGACCCUUAGAGUUUUAUUUAAUUUUUGUUGGGGCGACAGGUAAACAAAACUUUACGAAUAUAUCGAUUUUUUAUAAGAAUAAUAAAACUACCUUAGGGAUAACAGCAUUAUAUUUUUUAUGAUUGUGACCUCGAUGUUGGACAGGAACUUUAUGGCUAGCCGUCAAAAAAGAUUUGUUCUGUUCGAACAAUUUAUCCU